rnacentral:tRNA from 1 species
UAGCUCAGUCGGUAGAGCGUUAGGCUUUUAACCUAAAUGUCCAGGGUUCGACCCGUCGAACCCUG